rnacentral:misc_RNA from 1 species
AUAUCUGUGAAAGGGAUGUUCUUCAUGACAUCUGCCUUCACGGUCAUUAGACUAUCAGAAAACGUCCUUUGUCUGACAUAAUUUAUUAACUUGAUGGGGAACUGUCAUGGAACCGAAAAACACUCUAAAAUAACCUUGAAACUGAGUCACUCGCAUUUACCUUCAAGUUAUGCAGGUAAUCCCAAUCUCAGAUGUAGGAGUAAUUCAAGCAAUCUUAGACGCUUGUUUGUUUUAUUCCCCUCUAUAUUAACAAGAAGAAUAUCUCCUCGGGUAAACGAGGCAUCUCCCUUUAUUCCACCUGGAAAGAAAUUUAGUCAGUGUAAGUUUGGCAUGUCAGAUAUGACAAAGAUAAGGUUCUGGCAGGGUGUGCGUCAAUGUCUAUCAUCUCUUAAUUUUUCGGCGACUUCUAAACUGUUACAAUUGAAGCCCAGCAAAAGUUACUCGGCUAUCAGUUAAAUCCCUUGGAGAUCUUCUGGCUGUGAUUCGACUUGUUCCUAAAAGAAGUUCAACGCUGUAUUCCACGUCAGGUGGGUUUUUUCUUCCGAUCUAUUGGUAAGAGUAGUCAAGAGCCAAUUUGGCUUCAGAACCACAGCUCAUCGCUAAACAGACAAACUACAACAAAUUUGAUUGGAUAUGAUUCUCAGAUAUGUCUUGCAAUGCCAGUUCUUAGAAUUCGUUGUGAAUAAUCAAGCCACUGUCACCUUGAAAGUGAUAAGCCAAUUAAUCACUCAGCUUACCGAAACCCUGUUGAGAGGGUGAAAUGUCAACGAUACAACAGUAAAGAAACCGUGACUUCAGUGGCUUUGUACGUUAUUCCUACUAAUUUGUUCUUGGUAAAAGAAAAUGGCUUUUUUAGAUUCUACGGGAAACUAGACUCUUGUAGAGUUACUUUUAACACUUGUAGUUUUAUUAUUGGUAGUAAACGGAGGUUGGAGUGACUUUGGAACCUGGAGCGAGUGUAGCGCGACUUGUGGAGGGGGCAUCAUGGAGCGUACACGAACCUGCACCAACCCCCCUCCAGAAAAUGGCGGCAAGGAUUGCGUGGGGAUCGACAAGGAGGUUGAAGAUUGCAAUACUCAGCCUUGUGAUGUCGAUGGAGAGUUCAUUCUGUGGUCGCCGUUCGGUGCGUGUAGUAAGACUUGUGGUAAAGGGAAAAAAACGCGUACCCGCCAAUGUACCAAUCCACCACCCUCAGGGAAAGGAAAGGCGUGCCGGGGGAAAUUCAGCGAAACGAAGAAAUGUAAAGCGAGAUCAUGCAAAGGACUGAAGGAGUAGCAGAGUCAGUCAAUCUGGUUAAGCAGAUCUACAGUUAACAGAUCGGCCAAGAAACAAGUGGGGAUAAUUUUCUAUAACUGUGUAAUGUGGGCUGGGGCACAGUUUUGGAAUAACAUAACAAGGGGUCAUUUCACAGGUAUAAGGUUCAUAACAUUUCGAAUGUUAUUGUUAUUCAGUUAUAUCCUUCGCUUGUUGGUGUGGGAGAAAUAAAGCAAGCUUAAAAUGAAGGAAUUGGUUUUGGUUAUUAAUUACUAUUUAACAACUUAAGUCGUAUGAUGAUUAUUUGCCAAACACAAGCGAAAGGCAAUUCGUUUUCCGUUGAUUUAUAAUUUGUAACAACCUAAACAUUAGAGAAUUCACGCUACAUUAAUUUUAAAUGUUUCAAUAGCCCAUAAAUUGCCUUCUGAGCAUUCGAUGAAGAAAGGAAAUAGCACACAUGCGUCUUGCCAUUGCUGGAAAAUUUCACAACUAACCCUCGUUGUUAAGGGUAAUUCACUAGCGCAUAAUUUGUACCUUUUUUGGAAAAACUGAAUGUCCGCUAUGGUCAUGCAGGGCAACUCGACACUCCGAAAAAGGCAGGCGACCCUUGCAUACGUGGGUGUCUCUGAAAUCUGAAUUGACCUAUCAGGAUUCAGCAGGCGGGAAGAACUUGAUUGUCCUGACGUCAAAUGUAUGUUAUCAGGAAAGGCAUUGAAGUCUAAUUGGAGACCGCAUUCAUAUUCACGUAAAGGGAUUCAAAUUGACCACUAUAACAAAAGAUGCAAAAACGGAGAGAAUGAAUUUUUUCCUUCCAACAAAGUUUGAAUUUGGCUCCAAAACUUGUCAAAGACAAUAGUUGUGUUAUUUUGAGCCAACAACGAAUUAGAAGCUCCAAGAAUAUUAUCCCAGGGUUCGUAUAGAGAUAUCGAAUCGUGCUCCACAAGUAUUAAACACAAUCACAACAAAUGAAAAAAUCAGGAUACUUUAACACAAGAGUUUUCGACAUCUGAGGUGUUCGCGUCAGGAUCAUAGUUUGUCAGUGGUCAAAGUUCUGCCAGUGCUAUCCUAGUUUGAACUCAUUUAAGGGUCACUUGUUAUCUCGGUGAGAACUAAUAUAAACUUUGGUUAUUUGGCUAGAUUUCGAGCCAAACUCACGAAUUCACGAAUAAAAAGCUUUCACAAUUCUGAGCCCCAGUUUCCGCGCUCUCCGUUAGAAAUAUCCCCUCCUCCCCACCCCGACCAAGACAAAAUGGUUUGCGUUCUUCAACUCGGGCUUUUCUACGGAAGUAUACGUAAUAAUCCCCAAAAAUGUGCGUACACCAAACAUCGCUAUAAAUAAACGCGAUAACCAGAUUAUCAGCAGAAUAUUAAGGACGUCUUAGGCCAUUUUCGAACCUAGCUAUUACGAUUUGUUUCUUAUUCAGUCCACGGCUGAGACGGUGGGCAAAAUUUAGUUUCGCAACAUGUCAGAAAGUCUUGCUACGCUUCCAUGCGCCGCAAAACAAGUUUAGUUGCUUUUUAAAUUCUCGUAAGCACACACACAGACUUGAAAUCAAAUUAGAAGAGCAAUGAAAGAGACAACGCGUGUUCGGUAUCGUGGUGGCUAUUUUGAAUUUUCAAUACGCGGUCACCUCAUACAUGGUCUGUACCUAAAAACUUACGGCAUCUGGGAGGCCGAAAGAAUAAUUCUCGAGACAUCCGAUCGUGCAGUUCCAAACGCUUUGCGAAUAUUUUCCAGUUCCAGUUCUCGAACCAGAUGACGCAUUAAAAUUCUAAAUGGUUACCACACAACAAGGAGCUUGCAUGUGAGUUGAUGUGAGGUCCUCCUGUGACAGCAAGCAACAGCGUUUUUGUUCUAGUAGUCGCUGAGGACGACUAGUCUCCAGUAGCA